CCCCUCGGAGGUAACUAUAGUGUACUAUGUGUGUCCGUCCCCCUCUCGGAGGUAACUAUAAUGUACUAUGUGCGUCUGUGCGUCCCCUCUCGGAGGUAACUAUAGUGUACUAUGUGUGUCCGUCCCCCUCUCGGAGGUAACUAUAAUGUACUAUGUGCGUCUGUGCGUCCCCUCUCGGAGGUAACUAUAGUGUACUAUGUGUGUCCCCCUCUCGGAGGUAACGAUAGUGUACUAUGUGUGUCCCCCUCUCGGAGGUAACUAUAGUGUACUAUGUGCGUCCCCCUCUCGCAGGUAACUAUAGUGUACUAUGUGCGUC